GACGUGCUAAUCUGCGAUAAGCGUCGGUAAGGUGAUAUGAACCGUUAUAACCGGCGAUUUCCGAAUGGGGAAACCCAGUGUGAUUCGUCACACUAUCAUUAACUGAAUCCAUAGGUUAAUGAGGCGAACCGGGGGAACUGAAACAUCUAAGUACCCCGAGGAAAAGAAAUCAACCGAGAUUCCCCCAGUAGCGGCGAGCGAACGGGGAGCAGCCCAGAGCCUGAAUCAGUGUGUGUGUUAGUGGAAGCGUCUGGAAAGGCGUGCGAUACAGGGUGACAGCCCCGUACACAAAAAUGCACAUACUGUGAGCUCGAUGAGUAGGGCGGGACACGUGGUAUCCUGUCUGAAUAUGGGGGGACCAUCCUCCAAGGCUAAAUACUCCUGACUGACCGAUAGUGAACCAGUACCGUGAGGGAAAGGCGAAAAGAACCCCGGCGAGGGGAGUGAAAAAGAACCUGAAACCGUGUACGUACAAGCAGUGGGAGCACGCUUAGGCGUGUGACUGCGUACCUUUUGUAUAAUGGGUCAGCGACUUAUAUUCUGUAGCAAGGUUAACCGAAUAGGGGAGCCGAAGGGAAACCGAGUCUUAACUGGGCGUUAAGUUGCAGGGUAUAGACCCGAAACCCGGUGAUCUAGCCAUGGGCAGGUUGAAGGUUGGGUAACACUAACUGGAGGACCGAACCGACUAAUGUUGAAAAAUUAGCGGAUGACUUGUGGCUGGGGGUGAAAGGCCAAUCAAACCGGGAGAUAGCUGGUUCUCCCCGAAAGCUAUUUAGGUAGCGCCUCGUGAAUUCAUCUCCGGGGGUAGAGCACUGUUUCGGCAAGGGGGUCAUCCCGACUUACCAACCCGAUGCAAACUGCGAAUACCGGAGAAUGUUAUCACGGGAGACACACGGCGGGUGCUAACGUCCGUCGUGAAGAGGGAAACAACCCAGACCGCCAGCUAAGGUCCCAAAGUCAUGGUUAAGUGGGAAACGAUGUGGGAAGGCCCAGACAGCCAGGAUGUUGGCUUAGAAGCAGCCAUCAUUUAAAGAAAGCGUAAUAGCUCACUGGUCGAGUCGGCCUGCGCGGAAGAUGUAACGGGGCUAAACCAUGCACCGAAGCUGCGGCAGCGACGCUUAUGCGUUGUUGGGUAGGGGAGCGUUCUGUAAGCCUGUGAAGGUGUGCUGUGAGGUAUGCUGGAGGUAUCAGAAGUGCGAAUGCUGACAUAAGUAACGAUAAAGCGGGUGAAAAGCCCGCUCGCCGGAAGACCAAGGGUUCCUGUCCAACGUUAAUCGGGGCAGGGUGAGUCGACCCCUAAGGCGAGGCCGAAAGGCGUAGUCGAUGGGAAACAGGUUAAUAUUCCUGUACUUGGUGUUACUGCGAAGGGGGGACGGAGAAGGCUAUGUUGGCCGGGCGACGGUUGUCCCGGUUUAAGCGUGUAGGCUGGUUUUCCAGGCAAAUCCGGAAAAUCAAGGCCGAGGCGUGAUGACGAGGCACUACGGUGCUGAAGCAACAAAUGCCCUGCUUCCAGGAAAAGCCUCUAAGCAUCAGGUAACAUCAAAUCGUACCCCAAACCGACACAGGUGGUCAGGUAGAGAAUACCAAGGCGCUUGAGAGAACUCGGGUGAAGGAACUAGGCAAAAUGGUGCCGUAACUUCGGGAGAAGGCACGCUGAUACGUAGGUGAAGCGACUUGCUCGUGGAGCUGAAAUCAGUCGAAGAUACCAGCUGGCUGCAACUGUUUAUUAAAAACACAGCACUGUGCAAACACGAAAGUGGACGUAUACGGUGUGACGCCUGCCCGGUGCCGGAAGGUUAAUUGAUGGGGUUAGCGCAAGCGAAGCUCUUGAUCGAAGCCCCGGUAAACGGCGGCCGUAACUAUAACGGUCCUAAGGUAGCGAAAUUCCUUGUCGGGUAAGUUCCGACCUGCACGAAUGGCGUAAUGAUGGCCAGGCUGUCUCCACCCGAGACUCAGUGAAAUUGAACUCGCUGUGAAGAUGCAGUGUACCCGCGGCAAGACGGAAAGACCCCGUGAACCUUUACUAUAGCUUGACACUGAACAUUGAGCCUUGAUGUGUAGGAUAGGUGGGAGGCUUUGAAGUGUGGACGCCAGUCUGCAUGGAGCCGACCUUGAAAUACCACCCUUUAAUGUUUGAUGUUCUAACGUGGACCCGUGAUCCGGGUUGCGGACAGUGUCUGGUGGGUAGUUUGACUGGGGCGGUCUCCUCCUAAAGAGUAACGGAGGAGCACGAAGGUUGGCUAAUCCUGGUCGGACAUCAGGAGGUUAGUGCAAUGGCAUAAGCCAGCUUGACUGCGAGCGUGACGGCGCGAGCAGGUGCGAAAGCAGGUCAUAGUGAUCCGGUGGUUCUGAAUGGAAGGGCCAUCGCUCAACGGAUAAAAGGUACUCCGGGGAUAACAGGCUGAUACCGCCCAAGAGUUCAUAUCGACGGCGGUGUUUGGCACCUCGAUGUCGGCUCAUCACAUCCUGGGGCUGAAGUAGGUCCCAAGGGUAUGGCUGUUCGCCAUUUAAAGUGGUACGCGAGCUGGGUUUAGAACGUCGUGAGACAGUUCGGUCCCUAUCUGCCGUGGGCGCUGGAGAACUGAGGGGGGCUGCUCCUAGUACGAGAGGACCGGAGUGGACGCAUCACUGGUGUUCGGGUUGUCAUGCCAAUGGCACUGCCCGGUAGCUAAAUGCGGAAGAGAUAAGUGCUGAAAGCAUCUAAGCACGAAACUUGCCCCGAGAUGAGUUCUCCCUG
rnacentral:rRNA from 1 species